UACGUAGGGUGCAAGCGUUAAUCGGAAUUACUGGGCGUAAAGCGUGCGCAGGCGGUUGUGCAAGACAGAUGUGAAAUCCCUGGGCUCAACCUGGGAACUGCAUUUGUGACUGCACAGCUUGAGUGCGGCAGAGGGGGAUGGAAUUCCGCGUGUAGCAGUGAAAUGCGUAGAUAUGCGGAGGAACACCGAUGGCGAAGGCAAUCCCCUGGGCCUGCACUGACGCUCAUGCACGAAAGCGUGGGGAGCAAACAGG
rnacentral:rRNA from 1 species